rnacentral:lncRNA from 1 species
UGACAUUAAGCAAAGUCCAAUACAAAUUGGUCCGGUCUAGUAAAGUGAUAUUCAUGAUUUGGGGGUGGGGAUCUAGACAGUUUACAAGUUCUCAAACAGGCAGGAGGUAGGGUAAGAGUGGCCCUAGGGGACUAGCCUUUUAUUUCAUCUGAUUUGUUUUAUUAUUCCGUACAAGAAUAUAUGUUGUUUCAGUGUGGGGAUUUCAACAGUUUUCAAGUUUUCGAAAAGGGGGUGGAUCUUGACUGUUUACAAGUUCUCAAAACAGGAUGGGGUGGGGUUACACCGAGGGACUUAAUUAUAUUUCACUUUAUUCGUUUUAUUGUCCAAUACAAGAAUAUUUAUGAUUAAGGGUUGGGGAUCUCAACCGUUUACAAGUUCUCAAACAUGAGGGGUUGGGGAUGACUCAGAGGUACUCCCACUAUAUUUCAUUGGUUUUGUUUUGUUGCCCCAUAAAAUAGAAUAUAUAUGGUUUAGGGGUGAUCAUCUCGACCGUAUAAGUUUUCCAAAAAAAGUUGGCUGGGUCACCCCUGUGGACUUCUUCUAUAUUUCAUUUUGAUUUAUUUUAUUUUCUCAUACAAAAAUAUAUAUGGUUUGUGGGUGUGGAUCUCAGCCGUUUACAAGUUCUCAAACAACAAGGGGAUGGGAGUGACCCCUAGGGACUCGCCUUCUUUUGAAUUUGAUUUGUUUUAUUGUCCAGUACAAAAAUAUAUAUGGUUUAGGGGUG